UUUUAUUUCAUUUCUAAUCAAUUAAUUGGACAUUACUUACAUCAAGAAAUUUUUUCCUCUUACAUCAAAUCUAAAUAAUCUCAAAUGAAUCCCCAAUUUCUUGGAUGUAUUUUAAGAAAAUAUUUUCUUAGACAAAAAAAAAGUUAUUUUGCUAAUAAGAGUAAUAUUCUAAAUUCGAGAAUACAUUUUUUAUGGCAACAUUUUGCUUUGUCAUUUUCAAUCAUGUCGUGACAUGUUGAAAACGCGCGCGCUCCGUCUCCGUGGCCGUGGUAUCUGCGAUUGAAGAAGCCAUCCAUAAAUCAAUAGCCAAUUAUUUAAAAUGUGAAGCAAAGUGAACUAUACUUACUUAGUUUUACUUGAAAUCUUAAAAAGGUAAGGCAAGGAGAAUAAAAUCUUAAAAAGGAACUGAUUUUUCUAUUUGUUGUUUGUGGAAACAGUAAUGGAUUCGUUGAAAGAACUUUUGGAAUCGUGGAAUAUACCACAACUUGUAGUGACCAAUUUUAUUGAGAAUGGUAUAAUGAUUGAACAUUUUCCCAAAUUAAAACUAGACAAUUUGAAAGAAUUAUGCCCACAUAUGGGGACUAGACUAUCUUUAGAGGAAAAGAUAGGGGAGCUUAUUACUGCACAGGCAACGACGGAUGCAGUAUCUGAAUCAACUGAUGAUCAAGUCAUUAUUACUCCCACCUCCAGUAAAUUUGAGACAAGCACCAGUGAUUGUUUAUUUUUAUUAGUUUUUUACCAGUUUAUUAGUUUCAUUAGAUGAACUACAAGUGGUCGACAUCUUGGAAACAACCAAAAGUGUAUCUAGAAAAACAUUUCCACAUUUUGAUUUGGAGACACUACUGCAUACGUCAGCAGGUGGCAAUAGUAUUUUAAAAUACUAUGAAACAUAUGGUUUUCUCAAUAAUACCAAGAGAAACCAGUUGACCGAUAUAAUUACACAUACAUUGUCAAUUACCGGAUAACCUAUGAAGAAUAUAAUAUUAUAUCUGCGAAAAUAAUAUCACUGUUUCCAAAGGAGUCAAUAGGCACUUAUUUUACCAAACCUAUAAAAAAAAAAUUCAUUUAAUGGACGUUCUACGGUAGCACGAGGAAAAUUGGUGGGCAAAGUCCGUAACCUUCUGUAUAAAUAUGGAGACCACACACAAGCGACAAUCUGGCACUCUAGAAAAUGCUCCACCGUUUAAAAGACAGUAUAUUCAAGGUUUGCAAGGUAAUUUUUUUUUAAAUAGGCUUGCAAGCAAACCCACUGACUUUCACUGGGUUAAAGCAAUUUAUGAACCUAUUUAGGUAUUUGAGAGUAGGUAUUCUAAGUCGCAUCAUUCUGGGUUUUUAAUACAGGUAAAUGUAACUGUAAAUCCACUGUAAGUGGGCCCCAUUUACAGUGGUCCAAAAAUUUUUCUACAUAGAGGAGUAACAACCCAUUUAAAAUAAACAUUAGUUUAGCAAAAAUCAAUAGCUUAAGUUAUGAUUUUUUUAUGUACUUUCUUGAAAAUUUUCUACUCUAGUCAAAAGUUUAAAACUAGUCUAUUUUGAAAAUUAUUCCACUAAAUUAAUUGAAAUUUGGUAUUAAAGUAGUAGUAACCAUGUAGCUAGCAUGCAAUGAACCAUUUUUGUGUUUGUUCUUAGAUUGCUCCGUUAUUUUUUAGACAAUUCAUGUUCAUGAGUUUCUACAAUUUUAACUCUCUAAUGGUCAUAAUGUACACAAAAAGAAAAUGUUUAAAAACAUAUAGAGAACUUCUGAUAAAUAGAUAGGUUUGAGAAUAAUUUCAUGUAAAUCUGAGCUGAACCAAUGUUUUCUUUUGAGAAAUUAAGUUAAAAUUGUUUGAAUAACGAUUAUGAUACUGGUGGUGGUUUUAAUGACUAGAAUAGAAAAUAUUGAAAAAGUAUGGAUGGCAACGUAUCAAGUUACACAUUGACGUAUCUUGUUCCGUUGCACUGGAGGCGAUUUUCAAAUAAAAAUGUG